UCACCAAUCAGAGAAUUUCGCAAAUAUCUACCACGUGCUCAGAACUGGCAUUGGAGGACGUGGCUCAAGUUUCAGUUCUUCCAGCCGAUGACGUGAGGGCAAGAAAAGGAUUGGAGGACAGGACUUGGAGCCACUCCUCCCUAGCACAGCCUGCCCAUUGAGCACCGAAGGUGGGCUCUCCCCCAGCCCCAGCCCCCAUCACUGGACAGUCAUGGGAAGUGGCUGCUACCAGGGAGAACCGCAUGACCUUGAGCAAGACAGCUUUCUUCAGUGGAGGGAAGGCAAUUCUCCAAGAGACACUCAUCUGAGAGCUGUCAGCCAACUCUCCCAGCAGGAAAGUCACAUUCUGAACUUCA